rnacentral:rRNA from 1 species
UGGGGAAUUUUGGACAAUGGGCGAAAGCCUGAUCCAGCAAUGCCGCGUGUGUGAAGAAGGCCUUCGGGUUGUAAAGCACUUUUGUCCGGAAAGAAAUCCUUGGCUCUAAUACAGUCGGGGGAUGACGGUACCGGAAGAAUAAGCACCGGCUAACUACGUGCCAGCAGCCGCGGUAAUACGUAGGGUGCAAGCGUUAAUCGGAAUUACUGGGCGUAAAGCGUGCGCAGGCGGUUUGCUAAGACCGAUGUGAAAUCCCCGGGCUCAACCUGGGAACUGCAUUGGUGACUGGCAGGCUAGAGUAUGGCAGAGGGGGGUAGAAUUCCACGUGUAGCAGUGAAAUGCGUAGAGAUGUGGAGGAAUACCGAUGGCGAAGGCAGCCCCCUGGGCCAAUACUGACGCUCAUGCACGAAAGCGUGGGGAGCAAAACAGGAUUAGAUACCCUGGUAGUCCACGCCCUAAACGAUGUCAACUAGUUGUUGGGGAUUCAUUUCCUUAGUAACGUAGCUAACGCGUGAAGUUGACCGCCUGGGGGAGUACGGUCGCAAGAUUAAAACUCAAAGGAAUUGACGGGGUCAUAGCUGUUUCCU